ensembl:lncRNA
GGGGCGUUCCUGUGGCUGCUGGAUAAUGGCCCCAAAGAUACCCACACUCCAGGCCUGAACCUGUGCGUGUGAUGGCAGAGGGCAGAAGGGGCCCUGCAGGUGUGACCAAGGAAAGGUCCUCAGAUGCGGGAGGGUCCUGCCUUAGCUGGGUGGGCCUUGAAUGUCAUCACAAGUGUCCUUUCAGAAAGAAGCUGGGGAGGACUGACAUAGGCAGGAGGAGGGAUGAUGACGGAGGUAGGGAGGUGGGAGUGGGGGCACGAGUGAGGGAGGCAGGCGGUCCCAGACCCUGAUGGGAGACAUGGCCGUCCCCUGGAGCUGCAGGAGCUGGCACCCUGACAUCAGCCUGGUGGUGCUGAGCUGGACUGCUGACCUCCAGGACCGCAGGAGCCAAUCUAUGCAGUCCUAGGGCGGCAGGUCAGUGGCCACAGGUCACACCAGCCACGGGGGAGGCACAUACCCACCCGGUGCCCCUGAAUUUACGUGAACCGACACAUUCCUCCACCCUCCCUGUGCUCCUGGGAGGCUUGCAUGAGCUGGUGGGUGCAAAGAGCUUAAAAAAGCAAGAAGUAUUGUUUUUAAAAGGAUUGUGCAAAAAAUGGUCUGCCCAGCCCUAAGGAGGACAGCAGUCUUGCUCUCCAGUAACUCACCACCUGGAGCCAGAGAGACUCGCAAAGGGUACUGAUCACCAGGAAGGUCACAGGACAACCGAGGGGGCUGGCGGGGGUCUGGAGGCUUCCUGGAGGAGUCCACUCUUGAUCUGAGCCUGGAAGGGUGCGGAGGGAGCAGCCAGAAAGGACAAAGAGGGAAGGGCGUCUCUGGCAGAGGUAACAGCAGGGGGAACGCUCGGAAAAUAGGGAGACAAGGCCAUGGAGGGACCUGUAAGGCAUCCAGGAGGGACGAGCAGGGUAGGAUGUGAACAGGUCAGCCCUGGGGUGCGGGGGGCCUUGCAAGCCAGAGACGGACACAGCGGAAGGAACAAGGCCACUGCAAGGAGGGUGGACGGGGUGUUGAAACAGGACAGAAGUUACAGAGGCUGUGAGCCCGGGGUGAGCAGAGGGUGGAACUGACAGGAUUUCACGACCACCUGGAUGAGGCGGGUGAGCAGGGAGGGCUCGGGGGAGCUUGGGGCAACUUGCCCAGAUGACCGUCAUUACCUCUAAUGCCAGAGCCGAGCCCACACCACGCACACGCCCGGGGACGUGCCAAGGGGUCGGGGGGAGCUCAUCUCAGUCUCAGUCCUCACAGCCCUUACACUGAUUGUCCACACCGUGCAGAGGGGUGGGGAGGCGAGACGGAGCCCAGACACGGAGCAGGGGUGCAAGGGGGCCAGGGCCUGGGGGGUGGAAUAGCUUUUAUGCAAACUAGAUAAAAAAAAGGGUUUGAGGACUGCUUUUGUAAUAGUUUUUUAUUACCAGAAAGAAAGGAGGAAGGGAGAGAGGGAGGAAGAAAGAAAGGACUCCUUGGUGGUCCAGUGGUUAAGAGUCUGCCUUUCAGCGCAGAGAAAUGGGUUCGAUCCCUGGUUGAGGAACGAAGAUCCCACAUGCCACAGGGCAACUAGGCCUGAGCACUGCAGCUACUGAGCCUGUGCACUCUAGAGCCCAGGCUCUGCAAUGAGAGACGCCCACACACCACAACUAGAGAAGCCUGCAUGCCUCAAUGAAGACCCAGUGCAGCCAAUAUUAAAUAAAUAAAUAAAACCAUCCUUAAAAAAAGAAGGGAGGGAGAGAAGGUGGAAGAAGGAAGGAAGAAAGGAAAAAUACAUGUUCUAUUAGCAGCUAAGCACAAAAACCCUGAUGCUGGGAAAGACUGAAGGGAAAUGGAGAACAGGGCAGCAGAGGACGAGAUGGUCAGAUCGCAUCAGUGAUUCAGUGGAUGUGAAUCUGAGCAAACUGGGAGAUGGUGAAGGACAGGGAAGCCUGGUGUGCGGCAGUCAUGGGAUUGCAAAGAAUUGGAUAAGAUUUAGCGACUGAACAAUAACAACAAGCACUUUUAUUUUCACCACUGUUAAUAAACGAAAAAUCUGCAGAGCCUGAAAGUAGGACAAUUCUCACUGUUUAGGAAAGACCUGUGGGCUCCAUCACCCUUAGGAUGGUGCACAUGCAGUGAGAGUUUCCAGCCAGAGGCGGCUCCGUGACCAGGAGCUCAGCUGCAUUGGUGAGGUUUUAUUUCUCGAGCUGACAAUGGUGGAUGCUGCGGUGAUCACUGAACACUUCUUGGACCUUCUUGACGAUCCUAAACAUUUUUACAGUUUAGCACGGGAGUCACUGAUGCUCCCCAGCUGUCCACUAAAGCGGGUCUGAGGUCCCAGGCCAUACUCAUCCGAUGACAGGACCAUGGUCCUUGCAGCCAACCUAAGCCCCUUUCACCACAUGCUCCUUGUCUGCCCAGCCCUGAGGAGGGGGGCUCCCUCCCUCCUGAGCCAGUGCACAGCCCUCUUUGAACAGUUCUCACUGUGGGAAGGUCCUGCCUCAUGAAGAGUCCUUCCUCCCACUGGAAAUCAGUGUGCAUAUACGUACAGCCAGCCAGGGAAGCCCUUCAGGUCUUUGAAGACAUCAAGCCCCUACCUUCCUCACCCCAAUUUUUCUUUCUCCAGGCAAAGCAGCCUCAGUGCUCUCAGAGACAAGUGACAGAAGAGAAACUUAGGCUGUUUAUGCAGACAGGUAAACUAUAUUGGCUUCAGGUGUAUCACAAGCUUCAGGCAUAGUUGGAUCCAGGUGCCCAGCUGGUGUCUCUGUAUGUGUUUCCACACUGCUCUCCUACAUGUUGGCUUUAUCCUCAGGCCCGCAGCCAUCCAGCUUCACAUCCCCUGGAGGUUCUAGCAAGGCUUGAUGUUCCCUGCAAAACUGCCAGCAGGCUUGGGUCAUGUGGCCAUCCUUGAGCCAGCUACUGUGGCCAGGGAAACAGAGCACUCUGAUUGGUUAAACCUGCAUCACAGGAGCAUCAGUGCAUCCCAGAGGCAGUAUCAGCCCCGGCUGAACCACGUGGGCAUAAAGUGGGAAGGAAUGCUCCUCCCAGGAAAUCAAGGUGUUAUUACCACCAAGAGACAAGGUGUGUGAGUUAAGACCAAGGUUCUGUCACAGAGAUCCACAGUGGCUGAGCCAAGGUGGAACUUUAUCUUCCCUGACGUUCCUUAGAUGCGAUCAGUCCUGGGGUGAUGCAACUCAUUCUGACAGCGGGCUCCAGCAGCUGAGUAUUAUACACAUUGGAUGUAAAAGCUGUGAAAACACGACCACAUUUGCUGCUGCUGUCCUGGCCACUUAUAAACUCAGUUCCACUCAAACAUCCGCCCUGCUCAGCAGGUCUCCUCACCUCUGCCCUCAGGAUCUUUUCUGUCCGAGUCACAUAUACAAGUUGAUGACAAAGGAAGUCUUCACAUCUUGCUGAAGCUGUAGAAUGUUCUGAACUUGCUGGGAGAUGAUGCUGGAGAACUCAGGAAUCCCGCAGACAGUCGCUGACAAGCUGAGGCUCUUUCUGGCUCCACCAGCAACAUCUGAAGAAUGAGAACACCCAGCAUGAAGGACAACACAGUACUCCAGAGAGCCUCUGUUUUCUCCUCUACAAAACGGAGGUGAGCCUCGACCUCGCAGACCCCAGUGCGCAGGGCCUGGCACGUAGACGCCGGCUCCGUCCUCACCGAGGGCGGCCCGCGGCACGCCCCGCACAGGUGGAGACGAUGCCAGUGUAGGCACGCCGCAGCCCUGGAGCGUGUCCUCCCCAGGGAGGUGGCUAGCUGUGCACUGAGCUCAGGUGGGGCCCUUGGACACACCUGCAGGCGCUCGGCUCUGCAUGCCCCGUGCCAGGUGCUGCCCCUCCCUGUGCUCGGUCUCCUGAACCACGGAUGACCCGACUGGCCGAGAUGGAAGUGGAGGAUGAUGAGCAGCUUCUCAGCAGAAAUCUCCCCAGGGGCUGGCUCUGCUGACUGACCCCUAAUGGUGCCCACAGCAGUCUGAGCCCUCCCCUGCUCAGAAGCCUCCCCUCUCUAAAUUAGGCUACCCAGCCUUCUGAAGAGACCUAAGGAACACUCUCCAGAUCUCAGCUGGCCGGUCAUGUCCUCCAGGAAGCCUUCCCUGAAUUCCUCAAUUAAGCCUUCGCUGAAUUCCUCAGCUCAUGACACUUCGUAACUGGGCUCCAGAGCGCAUGUUUCACAGGUGGCUUUUACAUGGCAACCCAGAACCUAACCUAGUGUCUGACCCACAGUGGGCACUCAAUUAACAUCCAUGGGAGAGGUGAACAAACUCACCUGCUAUUGACCUUGGAUGAGGGAUUUACCUCUCUGAGCAAUUCUUUGACCUGUAAAAUGAGUUGUCAUGAGGAAGCAUUGAGAGGAUGCAUGGAGUGUGAGGCUGACCACUGGCUCACAAAGAUAUCCGGGUCCCAAUACCUGGAACUUAUGUGGCAAAAAGGGUGUUGGGGUGGAGGGUCCUUAUGCGUGUAUGCUAAGCCACUUCACUCGUGUCUGACUCUUUGGGACCCCAGGGACUAUAGGCUGCCAGGCUCCUCUGUCUGUGGGAUUC